ensembl:lncRNA
CUACUAAUAAUUAUCUCAUGUGUCAGUUGACUUAUUUGAUAAUCUGUGUUUUCCCUCCUCAGGGUUUCCUCCUCAGAAAAACUCACAUGUGAACCACGUCAUUUCACCCGACACGUCUCCCCCCUCACCCAUCAACCUCCCUCCGCCUCUGCCCGUUAAGUCUCGUGACUUGAUGCCACAGGAUUCGCCCCCACCCAGACUCAGCCAUCCAGAGGACAGACCCCCUGAUUCUCCACCUCCCCUGUCUCGCAGUGGGACAGCGAGGGUCAGCUUCAGGGAACCGAUCAGCAGCAGCUACUCUGUCGAAGAGGACGAGGACGAACACGAGAAUGAGGAGGAGCCGGAAGAGGAUGAGGAAAAACAAGAGGAUGAUGAUGAGGUGGAGGGAGCAUUUGGAAGCAGGUUAAAUCUACAGAAAGGCAUCCCACCGCAGAUGGAUCUACUGGAUGGAUCCUCUUACCAUCAGCGUAAUCAACGUCGAGGGUAUAAUCGGUCCCGUAUCCCCUCGGACUCUUCUCUCCACUUGGGCUCAGAGAGGCGCUCGAGACGCUCACGACCCGACCGACCCCGGCUGGAAACCUUAGACUGGAGAGCAGAGAAAGAAAGCCGAGGCUCUGCCAACUACCCCUCGCUGAGCCUCCAGCCCGGCCACUGCAAACACGAAGACUCCUGCUCGACAUGCUCUUCAUCCUCAGACUCGGAGGAGGAGGGGUUCUUUCUGGGACAACGCAUACCUCUGCCGCCGCAACUCCAGAUGCAAAAACCUGAGGAUAAAGACAGAGACGCAGAAAGGGAGAGGGAGGCACAGAAAGAGUGGGGGCUGAGAGGCAGCUUUAGGCGAAGACGAGCCCACAGCCUUGGUGCAAAAGACAAAGAUAAAAACUGUGCUAUUUCCUAACCCGUAACCACCAGUGACAUUAAGGCCCAAUCCUAGCACUUGGCCCUACCCCUGCUUUUUGCAGACUCUGGCACAAGGUAUAAUGUCUCGUGUCCUUUCAGAAUCAGGGGGAGAGUUUUCAGAUGCAGAUGUAGAUGCAGACAAUAUUCCAAAUGCUUUGCAGACUAUAGCAGUUAUUGUGAUGUGUGCAAGGAAAGAAGCAGAUAACUUACAUAAAUAUAUUGCACAUAAUCAUACAAACAUUGCUGUAAUAUCUUACUCACAUGUACAAUAGUUGCAGAAUUAUACUUUUUUCAUGUACCACAAACUGUUUGAAGGGUUAAAAACAAUCCAGCAGCAAUUUUUUCUAAAUUUUUCUACAGUUCCCCAUCCAUGUGAUAUUAGUAUAUGGUAGACAUUUCCACUUUGCUCCACUUGUCAAUGUUUCUAGGCUGUAAACCUUUUUCACAACAGACAGUUUGACAUGUUACAGCAGGUAAAGCUUCCGAUGAUCCUAACAUUGAUGAUAGAUCUGUUACAUUAAAGUGCCCCAGAAAGCCUUGCCAGACAGCCAGCUUGCACAAACCAACAUGGAAUGCAGCCAUGGGUAAUUAUAGUAAUUACACCUGUUCAAUUUCAGCCACAAGUCAAAAUAUUGGCUCUGAAAAAGGUCUAUUGUCAAUAAUAACUUGUGUUGUUCUGUCCUGCAACUGAAGUCAGAUUUGUCUGUGUAAUAAUUGUUAAUGGUAGUAAACAAGGGCUUGGGAUUGGGCCUGGAAUACAGCAUGCAAGAGAAGAACAUAUAGCCCUUUAUCACUCCUGGGAAUUGACUUUGUGUCCAAACUAAGACACUGUUCAUCAAAGGGAAGCAUAUUAAACCUCAGAAAAGUCUGAUGCCAUCGACACUUCACUGUUUAACUGUGUAGAAAAUAACGUAGAGUGUGUGACUUACAUGUGUCAUAGCAGGUUUGUUUACGCAGAUCUGUCUGCAGUGUGUUGAGCUCAAACGAUCAUGCAGUGACAUGUACAGUAUCUGCUUUUCAACGCUACUGUCAUUUACAUAUGCAAACCUCCCAUGUAGAACCAGAAGCUGACAGCCCAGUUGUUUUCAAGCACAUUCCUCUAACAUGGCUUGUAAAAAGGAAUAAUCUUUGUAUUUUAAAUUCUGCUGUAAACGUUUUCUGCUUUCAUGUGCAAUUUUAUACAGCUGUAAUAUAUUACAGUUUAAAGAAAUGGCCAAAUAUUAUUUGAUCGUAUGUGACUCAAACACUUGUAGUUUUAUACGUUGACAACACAAAGUGGAACUUGUGUGAAUGUUACAGGGUUAAGUUUGUAAUCUGUGUUGUAUAGUACAAUACAAAAUGCAAAUGUCCAAUCAAAGUACAUUAUUUUUAUAUACAUGGUGUAGGUCGUUGUUCUUUGAAAUAUUAUUUGGGAUUAAAAAAAAAGAUUACUAUAAUAAUGUUUGUUUCUCUGAUUCUGUGAGACAAUUCUAUGGUG